UACGUAGGGGCUAGCGUUAUCCGGAAUUACUGGGCGUAAAGGGUGCGUAGGUGGUUUCUUAAGUCAGAGGUGAAAGGCUACGGCUCAACCGUAGUAAGCCUUUGAAACUGGGAAACUUGAGUGCAGGAGAGGAGAGUGGAAUUCCUAGUGUAGCGGUGAAAUGCGUAGAUAUUAGGAGGAACACCAGUAGCGAAGGCGGCUCUCUGGACUGUAACUGACGCUGGGGCACGAAAGCGUGGGGAUCAAACAGGAUUAGAUACCCGUGUAGUCCCUGAGCGGG
rnacentral:rRNA from 1 species